CAGCACCUCAAGUGGUCAGGAUGAUUAUUGGGCCUAAAACGUCCGUAGCCGGUCUUAUAAAUGCCUGGGUAAAUCGUGCCGCUUAACGGUACGAAUUCCGGGUAGACUGUAAGACUUGAGACCGGGUGAGGCUAGAGGUACUCCUGGGGUAGAGGUGAAAUUCUGUAAUCCUAGGGGGACCACCAGUGGCGAAGGCGUCUAGCUAGAACGGGUCUGACGGUGAGGGACGAAGCCCUGGGGCGCAAACCGGAUUAGAUACCCGAGUAGUCC
rnacentral:rRNA from 1 species